rnacentral:rRNA from 1 species
UACGUAGGAGACGAGCGUUGUCCGGAGUUACUGGGCGUAAAGGGUGCGCAGGUGGCGGCGCGCGUGGGGGGUGAAAUCGCCCGGCUUAACUGGGCGGGGGCCUUCCAGACGGCGUGGCUUGAGCAGCGGAGGGGGACGUGGAAUUCCGGGUGUAGCGGUGGAAUGCGUAGAGAUCCGGAGGAAGACCGGUGGCGAAGGCGGCCAGCUGGCGCUGACCUGACGCUGAGGCGCGAAGGCAUGGGGAGCGAACGGG